rnacentral:rRNA from 1 species
GAUGAACGCUGGCGGCGUGCCUAAUACAUGCAAGUCGAGCGAACGGACGAGAAGCUUGCGUCUCUGAUGUUAGCGGCGGACGGGUGAGUAACACGUGUAUAACCUCCCUAUAAGACUGGGAUAACUUCGGGAAACCGGAGCUAAUACCGGAGGAGAUUUUGAACCGCAUGGUUGAAAAGUGAAAGACGGUCUUGCUGUCACGUAUAGAUGGAUCCCCGCUGCAUUAGCUGGUUGGUAAGUUAACGGCUUACCAAGGCAACGAUGCAUAGGCGAGUUCAGAGGGUGGUCGCCCACACUGGAGCUGGACCACCGUCAAUGCUCCUACGGGACGGACCAGUAGGCUAUGUGCCGCAAUAGGCGAAAGCCUGACACAGCAAGCCGAAGUCAGUUAUGAAGGUCUCCCGUUCGUAAUGCUCUCUUACUAGGGAAAAACAGCUGUGUCCGUAACUGUGGACUUAUUGACGGUAACUAGUAAAAAAGCCCCGGCUAACUACGUG